AGAGUUUGAUCCUGGCUCAGGACGAACGCUUGCGGCGUGCCUAAGAAAUGCAGUCGAACGGGGGCUUCGGCCCCAGUGGUGAACGGUCGCGUAACACGUAAGCAACCUGCCCUGAAGUGGGGGACAACAUUCCGAAAGGGGUGCUAAUACCGCAUGUGGUCACGAGUCGGCAUCGACUUGUGUCUAAAGAUUUAUCGCUUCAGGAUGGGCUUGCGGCCUAUCAGGUAGUUGGUGGGGUAAUGGCCUACCAAGCCGACGACGGGUAGCUGGUCUGAGAGGACGAUCAGCCGGAUUGGGACUGAGAUACGGCCCAGACUCCUACGGGGGGCAGCAAUUAGGAAUCUUGCGCAAUGGGGGAAACCCUGACGCAGCGACGUCGCGUGAAGGAUGAAGGCCCUCGGGUCGUAAACUUCUUUUGAGUGGGAAGAAAUUUGACGGUACCACUCGAAUAAGCCCCGGCUAACUACGUGCCAGCAGCCGCGGUAAUACGUAGGGGGCGAGCGUUGUCCGAAGUUACUGGGCGUAAAGCGCGCGUAGGCGGUUAUUUAAGUCUGGGGUGAAAGGUUCAGCGCUCAACGUGAACAGUGCCUUGGAUACUGGAUGACUUGAGUCUGGGAGGGGGAAGGGGAAUUC
rnacentral:rRNA from 1 species